CAGGGCAGAUUCUGCCUGUCUUGGAUGCCUCCGACAAGCUUGGGACCCCUCCUAGCUCUGCUGGUGCUGACUUUCCCUGUCCCUCAAGGAAGCUUGCUACUUUUUGCUCCUUACCCUGAGGGCUGACCACGUGCAAUGGCAAAUGCCUCUUCAACUGCUUGCUGAGCAGCAGCCACCUCAACGCGGCUAGAGAGUUCUGAAGCCAAAGCUCCUGGCGAGUGAAAGAGAAGCCUGGCGCUCAGACCACCAUGCAUCACCUGGCCACAAACACCUCUGCCAAACUUCGAGAGGACCACAGGCAUAAUUUCUGCUUGGAAGUUUAACUACCAGACUUGGAGGAACAGUACUGCUGUCCUUAGCUCGUGAGGCUGUGAGAGGAUCUAAGCAGAAAGAGAAAUACUGCAAGUGCCGCAAACGGUACAGAGCUUUCUUUAUCUUAGGCACUUUAGUCACCGACAUGCGAUGUGUUUUCUUACAAUUCUGCCUAGCAACAUGUUGAGAACUUACUGUCCACACAAGAGUCUGGCAACAUAAUAAGGAAGAAAUCAUCAUCUUCUGGCUGUAUCUAUGUUUGGGUAUGUUAGCAUAAGUUGUUUUGCUUUGACUCUUUCACUAAAAGUAGAAACUCAGCUUCUGGAUUAGU